GUUGGUUUUGAGGGAGAGAAAUGAAAUAUGAAUGUGUCUUCAUCAACAUUUUCACCUGGACAUCGUCUUCUAUCCAUUACCUCUUUCAAUCCCAGCACCAACCCAGGAAAGUGGGCAAGGCUGUGUCCCCUGGGAGCAGAACAGAGAAUUGGAGGACCAGCACUUGAGAGCUGAACAAGCCUGCAUGGCCAUCCAUCAUAGUUACUAAAGAGAUUAGACUAACUCUGUAGCUCCAGAGGGCAAAAGAAGAACCAGUUGGUAGAAUCCACCAGAGGCAGUUUUGAAUUCAAAGAGAAGAAGCACUUUCUAAUGGUCACACAGCUGGCCAGCCCUGAGUGAGCUGUCCCAGGAAGCUCAGGGAAACUAUCUUUCAAAACAGAAGGAGAAAUUAAGAUGUUCCAGAUAAGCAAAAACGGAGAGAAUCUGUCACUAGCAGAGACGCUCUACGAGGAGUACCAAAGAGAGUGCAUCAGGCUAAAAUGAAAGGACUUUGAAAGGACGGUAACUGGAAUCCACAGGAAGAAAACAAGAGCACCAGUAAAGAUAUCUCUAAAAGAUAUCCUCAAUGCCAUUUCACAGGUGAGGAAAUGUGGGCACAGAGAGGUAAGGUAAGUUGUUUAAUGAUGCACAGCUUGUCAAUCAUAGAGCUGGAGCUCAAACUCUUCCAUGAGACUCCAAUGCCAGUGCUCCUAACUGCUAGGCUGCCCUGUCCCCAAGGCACACACUCCAGAUCCUUUCCUUUGCAUCUGCACCCAUGGGCUGAGUCAGGAGAGGUCACCCAGGUGCUGGACUCAGGCUUUUCCUGCCUUUUAAGAUGAAGGAAGGGCUCUUGAGGGUAGGGGAGGGAAUGAGUGGUGGACCCCUGACCCCUUUAUGCCCUUCUGAGCUCACCUCUGAUCAUCCUCCGGACUCAGGAGCUCUCCAGAAAAUGGGUGUCCUCCCCAGUGGACUCUAGAUUCAAUUUGCUGCUACUCACUGUGAGGAAGUUCCAACUGGCAUCUCUAUACUGGGUGCUUAAGUAAGAAAGUGACAGUUCAUCCUCAGGACAAUGGGCCUGGGUUUCAAUCCCAGCUUCACCUCCUUCUGGCCCUGGGUUUGAGCCCUUGGGCAGGCCUCAGCCUCCUCAUCUGUUAAAUGGGCAUAAACAUUGAGUCUAUCCCAAUGGGCUCUCAUGGGGGAUAGUACACACCAAGAGUUCACAGCACAGUGGCUUGCACGGACUAAGGGCUCGGCAAGAGUCAGUAGUUAGUGAUAAUAUCAUUCUCAGCACACAGGCAAAGCCAUGUGGGCUUUCCUCUGACAUCGUUUCUCCCUGGUCUUUCCAUUGAAAAUGUAUCUGAAGUCCUGAGUCACCCCGAGCUCUCCUUACCCCAGAAGUCCCUCCUCUGGAGUUGUGUUAAGUUUCAAGGGCAGAUGCAGGAGUCAGGCCAGGGCCAGAUUUUUAGCUCUGAGCCCUCAAAGGCUCCUGGAGCCAUCUGGAGCUUCUGGAACCGUCUGAGCCCAACUGUCUUCUGAACUGAGGCCCAUGCACCUGCUCUGAUGGAGCCAGGCCCUGACUGCAAGUUUCCUCUGCCAAAGUGCAACCUCAGGGGAUGUGGAUCAGAUGCCAUUUGAGAAGAAUAUGCUGAGAACGACUGAGAGAUGGCAACAUUUUUCAGCUCAGGGAGAGAGCAGGGUGGGUGGAUGAGUCUGCCUAGGGCUGGAAACUCUGUCUUCUGCCAUGGGACUGCGUGUGGCCUUGGGCAGGCUCCUUCUCUGCUCCAGUCUUGGAUUCCUCAUCUGUCAACUGGGGUGAUGCCAUCUGUUCAAAGUGUUGUUAAGAACAUGGUGGAAGAGGAUCAUGGGACAAGGCUAUAUCCCCAAGCUCAUUUACAGCAACAAUGAGCAGUUAUUAAGCACCA